rnacentral:rRNA from 1 species
AGUGAACGCUGGCGGUAGGCCUAACACAUGCAAGUCGAACGGCAGCACAGUAAGAGCUUGCUCUUACGGGUUGCGAGUGGCGUACGGGUGAGGAAUACAUCGGAAUCUACUUUUUCGUGUGGGAUAACGUAGGGAAACUUACUCUAAUACCGCAUACGACCUACGGUUGAAAGCAGUGGAUCUUCUGACCUUGCGCGAUUGAAUUAGCCGAUUUCGGAUUAGCUAGUUGGCUGGUUAAAGGCCCACCCAGGCGACGAUCCGUAGCUGGUCUGAGUGGAUGAUCAGCGACAUUGGAGCUGAGACAGGCACAAGAGUACUACGGUAGGGAGCAGUGGGCAAUAUUGGACAACGGGGGCGAGUAUGAUCCAGCGAUCGGAAGUGGGUGAAGAAGACGUUGGGGUUGUAAAGACGGUUUGUUGGUAAAGAAAAGCAGCAGGUUAAUACCAAGCUGUUCUGACGGUACUCAAAGAAUAAGCACCGGCUAACUUCGUG